GAUGAACGCUAGCUACAGGCUUAACACAUGCAAGUCGAGGGGAAACGAUAUUGGAAGCUUGCUUCCGAUAGGCGUCGACCGUCGCACGGGGGAGUAACGCGUAUCCAACCUGCCCACCACUUGGGGAUAACCUUGCGAAAGUAAGACUAAUACCCAAUGAUAUUUCUAGAAGACAUCUGAAGGAGGUUAAAGAAUUAUCGGUGAUGGAUGGGGAUGCAUUAGAUUAGCUUGUUGGAGGGGUAACGGCCAACCAAGGCGACGAUCAGUAGGGGGUCUGAGAGGAAGUGCCCCCACAUUGGAACUGAGACACGGUCCAAACUCCUACGGGAGGCAGCAGUGAGGAAUAUUGGUCAAUGGACGAGAGUCUGAACCAGCCAAGUAGCGUGCAGGAUGACGGCCCUAUGGGUUGUAAACUGCUUUUAUAAGGGAAUAAAGUGAGCCUCGUGAGGCUUUUUGCAUGUACCUUAUGAAUAAGGACCGGCUAAUUCCGUGCCAGCCGCCGCUGUAA
rnacentral:rRNA from 1 species